rnacentral:lncRNA from 1 species
UCCUCCCUCCCUCAUCCACUUCCCUUAUCCCUGUCCUUAAUCCCCCCUCCAUCUCUGUCCCUCAUCCCCUUGCCUCAUUCACCUUCCUCCUCCACUUCCCUUAUCCCCGUCCCUCACUCGCAUCCAUCCCACCUCCCUCAUCCACUCUCCUUAUUCCUGUCGCUAAUCCUCCCUCCAUCAUCAUCAUCCCUGUCCCUCAUUCCCCUCCCUCAUCUACUUCCCUUAUCUCCGUGCCUCCUCCCCAUCCAUCCCCCUCCCUCAUCCACUGCCCUCAUCCCUGUCCCUCCGCCCCGCCCCAGGCGCCCUCUCCUCCUCCUCCUCCUCCUCCUCCUCCUCCUCCUCCUCCUCCUCGCCGCCCCCGGGGUGCCUGCUACGGUGCCCUCUCCCAGGCGCUCAGCACAGCGCCCCGCGCAGCGUAGGCGCCCCUUGAUUGGCAGCAGGCCGCCCGACGGAGGGGUGAGGGGGGCGGGGCGGGGCGCGGGCGAAGGCGGCGGCGGCGGCGGGCGGAGCUUGACGGACGCGUCCCUCCGGCCAAUGGGAGCGUCCGAAUCCCGGGGCGCGGGGCCAAUGGGAGGCGGCGGCGGGCGGGCGGGUCCCGCCCCUCGGCCGCGCUCCCUCUUGCUGCUGCUGCUGCUGCUGCUGCUGCUCCUGGCGCUCUCGCUCACGAUCCCUCUCACUGCAGACCCGCCGGCGCUCACCGGCCACCGCCCCCCCUCCUUCGCCCCCCCCCUUUUUUUUUUUACCCCCUGGGUUGGGAGGUGGGGGAUUGGUUAAGUUUUAACUAGCAAAACAUUCUGGUACGGGGCCCUGGUCUGGAAAGGAGUCUUGGUCACAGGAUAAGGGUCUCCUUUGUGCAGGUAUUAGGGGCCUGGGAAGCAGCAUGGGCUAGUGGAUAGAACACAGGCCUGGGGGUCAGAGGACCUGAGUUCUAAUCCCACCUCCGCCACUCAUCCGCUGGGGUGACCUUGGGCAAGUCAGUUCACAUCUCCGUGCCUCAGUAUCCUCAUCUGUAAAAUGGGGAUGAAGACUGUGAGCCUCAGGUGGGACAUGGACUAUGUCCAAUCUGAUUACCUUUUAUCUAUCCCAGGACUUAGAACAGAACUUGACACAGAGAGCUUAACAAAUACUAUUAUUAUUAUUAUUAUUAUGUCGGGCUUAGAUUUGAAAUUCUGGGACCUCAGUGGGGUCACCCUCUGGUCAGUGGGGAGUCACCCUCUCCGCGGAAGAAGGGACCUGCCCUUGGCCACCCAAGUUUGCAGGCGGAGGGGAUUUCUUG